rnacentral:rRNA from 1 species
GAUGAACGCUGGCGGCGUGCCUAAUACAUGCCAGUCGAGCGAACAGACGAGGAGCUUGCUCCUCUGACGUUAGCGGCGGACGGGUGAGUAACACGUGGAUAACCUACCUAUAAGACUGGGAUAACUUCGGGAAACCGGAGCUAAUACCGGAUAAUAUAUUGAACCGCAUGGUUCAAUAGUGAAAGACGGUUUUGCUGCCACUUAUAGAUGGAUCCGCGCCGCAUUAGCUAGUUGGUAAGGUAACGGCUUACCAAGGCGACGAUGCGUAGCCGACCUGAGAGGGUGAUCGGCCACACUGGAACUGAGACACGGUCCAGACUCCUACGGGAGGCAGCAGUAGGGAAUCUUCCGCAAUGGGCGAAAGCCUGACGGAGCAACGCCGCGUGAGUGAUGAAGGUCUUCGGAUCGUAAAACUCUGUUAUUAGGGAAGAACAAAUGUGUAAGUAACUAUGCACGUCUUGACGGUACCUAAUCAGAAAGCCACGGCUAACUACGUG